ACGUAUGUCGCAAGCGUUAUCCGGAAUUAUUGGGCGUAAAGGGCAUCUAGGCGGUCAAUCAAGUCGAAGGUGAAAACUUGUGGCUCAACCAUAAGCUUGCCUACGAAACUGAUUAACUAGAGUACUGGAGAGGUGGACGGAACUACACGAGUAGAGGUGAAAUUCGUAGAUAUGUGUAGGAAUGCCGAUGAUGAAGAUAGUUCACUGGACAGAAACUGACGCUGAAGUGCGAAAGCUAGGGGAGCAAACAGGAUUAGAUACCCUGGUAGUCCUAGCUGUAAACGAUGAUCACUGGGUGUGGGCAGGAAGACUGUCUGUGCCGAAGCUAACGCGAUAAGUGAUCCGCCUGGGGAGUACGACCGCAAGGUUG
rnacentral:rRNA from 1 species